GACAGAGGGUGCAAACGUUGUCCGGAUUUAUUGGGCGUAAAGAGCUCGUAGGCGGCUUGUCGCGUCGUCUGUGAAAUCCCGCGGCUCAACCGCGGGUCUGCAGUCGAUACGGGCAGGCUAGAGUUCGGUAGGGGAGACUGGAAUUCCUGGUGUAGCGGUGAAAUGCGCAGAUAUCAGGAGGAACACCGGUGGCGAAGGCGGGUCUCUGGGCCGAUACUGACGCUGAGGAGCGAAAGCGUGGGGAGCGAACAGG
rnacentral:rRNA from 1 species